rnacentral:tRNA from 1 species
GCCUUUGUGGUGUAGUGGUUAGCACACUCGACUGGCAUUCGACAGGUCCGUGGUUCCAGUCCCGGAGAGGCC